rnacentral:lncRNA from 1 species
AUGCAUGCCACAUGUAGCGUCACCAACAUACCAUCUCCGGCUUGCUCUCCAGGAAGAAUGAAUACGUGGAAGAUGACGUUUGAUUCUUCCUGCUGGCCACUGACCCUAGAGAGACAUCAUGGACAACAUGGACACUCACUUCAACAUGAGGCUACUGAGACGUGUUAUCAGGUACCAUGUCUUACUACUAAAAGUCCCGACACAUAUGCCAGAUUGUGGGGCUCAGGGUAACCAGUAGCCACCACAGUCCCCUUUUGAAGGUGUGUGCAUGUGACUUCUGACUUUACAAAGAGAAAGGUAUUUCGAUUUUUUUUCCUUUGUCUUGGAAUGGAUUUUACUUUUGAAACAGUAUUCACCCUAGUGGUUAGAUUCUGGCAGCCCACGAAAGCCUAGACUGUGUUCGAGCUUAUGUUGUAAUUUAGAUGUCCAGAGGGUUAAUUUUAUAGGCACAUCUGGGCAUACAACUAGAAUUAGUAAUUUCAUUCCUGGUGAAAACUGUACAUUUGAGGAGAUGUGGGGGCACCAAAGACUUGUAUGUAUUUGUUUUCUUUUUUGACUCUGUAGAUGCUCAACAAAGGUAGUUGGUAGCUUACCUAACCACAUACACUUGUUCUUCUUUAUGGCGAAAAACAAAGUGACUUAGGAUUUUUUUUUCCUCUUUGAAGAAACUAGCACAGGUCAAUCACUGUGUAUUUUUGCUGUCUUUAAAAGGUGCAUUUUGUUUAGCAGGGCUGCAUAAAGGGUAUACUCAACUAACAAUACAUUUUAUAAGAAACUUUUAACAGUUGUUAAUUUGGGACAUGAGACCAUUGCGCACUACAGGGGCGGGCAGCCUAUGUCCCCUGGAACAAAUUUGGUUUGCUGCCUGUUUUCCAAAGUAAAGUUUGAUUGGAACACAACCACAUUCAUUCGUUUUUGCAUAUCAUCUUUAGCUGUUUUUUGAUGCACCGGCAGAUUUGAGUAGCUAGGACAGUGACUGUAUGUCAUUGCAACACCUAAAAUACUUCCGAUCUGGCCCUUUGCAAGAAAAGUUUUCUGACUACGGGCCUAGAUCAUGGGGAGGAAUUGUUUAUCCAUUCCUUUUAUAUUUGUCUGUGCUGUUUUGAUUUUUUCCCCCAUGUGUAUGUAUUCCUUUUGUAAUAAAAUUAUUAAAGCAUCUUAAAUGAUUGUGCUA